rnacentral:lncRNA from 14 species
ACUGCUUAGCAGGAGCUUUUCGCAUAGAAAUGAGUUGAAAAUGCAUUUGUACCAGUUUUAAUGCAUUUGUUUUUAGAUUAUAGAGACAGAUCCUGGAAGUCUGAGAAAAGCAUCAUCUGGUGUGUUGUUCCCAGCUGCAGACAGACAUGGAGCAUGCUCUCAGGUUGCUUCAGGGGAACACAAUGGCUUUUCAGAGAAACCCAGCAAUUCCCAGUUGAAGACUCCCCAAGCUGUUUCAGAAAUAAAUAAACCCUCUCCUAAAAAUAGGCAGGAGAAAUCAGAUCUGUUGGAGGAAUUUGGUUUAGGAGAUGCAGAGGAUAUUGAAGGUGAGUACUCGGGAUCUACCUCUCACGUAUCAUCAUCAGCUACAAAAGAAGACAUCAAGGAUACCACUGAAAACUAUGGAGUACAGGUAUGUAAACUUAAAUAUUUUGAAUUAGAUGGAUUGGUAAAUCGUAUUCUACACUAAGGUAAAAAAACACACCAGUCAGUGCAUAAUGCUGAAAGCAGAAUCUUAUAGUUGAAGCUGUAUUGAAGUAAAGUUGGAUACAGUCUUCUUACAAUAGGGUAAAAUCCUUGUAUUUAGGUUGGAUACUCACUUUUCUACUGAUUUGUUUAGAACCAGUUUGCUUAAAUUUUGACUAGUGUUUUUCCUUUUGGGUGAUACUGUGAAUCUUUAGCAUUUUUUUUUAAUUACAAAAAUUGCUCUCAAAAUGUUUUGUUUCUGUUACAUAAUAAGGAUGAGUUUGCAACAGAAAUUACCUAGAUUAACUGUAACUUCCUUUUCCUUGGAAAUUUCUCUG